rnacentral:lncRNA from 1 species
AUUGCAAAGUAGAAAUACUAUUUUAAAAGGUGCAAAAUACCCUUGAGAGAGAAGCAAUUCAGGAUGGGCAGAUUAUAAGAAUGAGACAGCAUAGACUGGAAAUAGAGAGACUCCAUUUAUGGGAGUCUUACAUAAUUAUUUACAAAGAGUUAGAAUGUGGUGUUAUUAGUAAGCAUGUUCUGGGUGAUCCUCUUGGUGCACAUACACAGUGGCUGUACAUGCUUGUUUGUACAUCACAUAUCUCAUUAGCAUAUUAAAACUCCACUCACGUGUGUUUUUUAGUACUACAAUGAGUAAAAGAUCAGAGGACAAGUAAAAUUAAAAUGUGCAUGCUCUUUACAGGGGAAUAUCCCUACUGAAGAGAGCUUUGCUUGAAUGAGAUGAAAUGCAAUGCAAAUGUUGGGGUUUAUUGUGUUGACAAUAUGCUGUCACCAUGUAAUCACCAUGGCUGCUGCAGCCUGAGGACAUGGUGACUUUCUUGACUACCUAGCCAGCCUCAAUAGUACUUAUCUUAGUUGAUUUUCAACUAUCAAUGCUGAGACUAAGAUUUAGCUGUUACGUCAAUAUUGUCAAAAGUGUGAAAAUGACAAUUUUAAAAUCAAACAUAUUUGAGCUUGAUUUGGGUCUCUAGCUGUGUACCCAAGAGAAAUUAUUUUACAUUCCUGGAGCUUCAGUCAAUAUGUAUGCAUUGCUGUAUGUUUGUUUUUUUGGUGUAAGUUUUUGUUCGUUUACAUUUUUAAGGAUAUUUUUUCCUACUUUAUGCUGAUUUUGAGUUACACAAAACUUACCAAGAGCUCUAUUUUAAUACAUUUUUUCAACCAAAAUGUUAAAUAUUGAAAGUGGCAUUCUGGAUUAUCCUUUUCCAUGCAGACUACACUGCAGUUUUCCUUUUGUGGUGCAAGGUUAUAAAAAUGCCAUUCAGUUGAUUUCCUAAGUAACAGUAGAAUGUGUUUUCUCAGACAGUAGCAUGAGGAUUUUUGACAUACUACCAUUAGACAUAAUGAAAGCAAAUGAAUGAACGUGUUGAAAUUUGUCUUUAUUCACAAGGUCAUUAGAGGCUAAGUCAUGGCAACACAUGUAGUUCAAUCCAAAUUUUUUGUGUAAAAUUUUGUUGAACUGCAUCUAUCUGCAUAUGUAACACUAAUUUAGUAACAGCUUCUUUAUACUAAGCCAGAAUUAAUUUAUCCUGAUGGUUUUGUUUUAAAUGUGUGAGCUGUAUUAUACCACAUUUGAACAAGUAAUAUAGAGUAAUAUGAAUUUACCUUAGAGAAAGAAAAGUACAGGCACAUUAAAAAUGAAUUAGAAGCUGGCAGCUGACACUGAUUAACAGGUUGAGCAAAUUCUACUAGACCUAAAUUUCUGUAAACAAUUUUGAAAAACAGAAUUUUAACUAAAAACAUCAACAACAUAAUAAACUUAUGAGAUUUUUAAAAAGUUGAUUUGUUUACCCAUCAUCAAUCAAUACUAGGUUAAACUAGAAAAUUGUGAACACAUCAUAUAAAAAAUAAAAUUACUAAACUUUCCUCAGACUUCAUCUGAUUAAAACAAGGCUUCUGGGUAUUUGAAAGCACCAAAUUAUUGAUGAAAAAUAUCUAUUUUGAACAGAUUGUUGAUCUUAUAUACACAUUAGUACUAAGUAAAACCUAAUACAGCUUUGAUUUCUGAAAUAUUUGUGAAUGUCUAUCACUAUACUGAAAAAUCAAGAAAUUAUUCAAUCUGUCUAAAUUUUGAGGAAAAUAUUUGCUAUUUUAAUUGAAUGUCAGUAUUCAUGUAGUAUGGCAAACCACCCAUUUCUUUAGUAUUCUGCUAUUUUAUAAAAUAAACCAGAAUUUAUGGAGACAUUUGUAAAAAAAAAAAA